CCCUGGGCCGGGCCGGGCCGCAAAGCUCGUCCCCGGAAGGCCCCAGGAGCUCCACGGGCGGCCGCCUCCGCUGCCGGCAGCGGGCGGGACGCGGCGCGGCUGGCCCCCGCAGGCCCCCGCGCCUCCAGUCCCCGCUCGGCACCCCUUCCUUCCGAGUCACCCCACGGGCCGGGCUUCCGGCCUGGGCGAGGGAGAGGCCGGCCGCCGGGACCCCGGGCUCCUCUCGGGUUGCCGCGUGCUCGCGGAGGGUGUAGCCGUGCCGGGCUCCCUCUCGGGCCGCGGGGGCGCACUGUCUGCGCUGGUGGGAGGAUGUCGCGGGCAGGGGCAGAGACGGACCGCGGCGGGCGCUGGGCACCACACCUGUGCGCGCGCUGCGAGGGCAGUGAACCAGUGAUGCAGCCCGGGGGCCGGGGGUUCGACUGCAGCUGUGCUGCCUUCACCUAGCUGCCAAGGCCUCGGGCAGGCGGGCUCGUCUGGUUUUGCUUGCAUAGGAGUAUCUGAAAAAACCGGCGAAUAGUGCUAACAAGCAGCACGGGUGCGGCACUCAGGCACUCCAGAGAUAAUGUGGACAGAUUUCGAUUUUCUCUUAUAUCCUUUUUUUGGAGAAAGGGCACGGUUGGGGACAUUCCUGUUCUGCUGAGUUGCUUUCCAUUAUAUGUGGAACCACCCAUGACAAUUAUCCUCCUAUUUUAAGUUCCUAACUGCCAAAACGGAUCAGACCAGAAAAUUCUAAUUCAUGGACAAAGUACACUGUGUCAAUAUACCUGACAGAAGAAAUUUCAAACUCUCCAGAAUGCCUACCUCCAUCCCUCAUACAAGGUUCAACUGAGGGUAAGCAGUGACUUUGGUGAGCUGGUGCAUGCACUCUCUGACCUAACAAGCACAAGAGGAAGCUCACAGUUAGGGCCUGACAAUUCGGAAGCAAUAUGACGCGAGCAGCACUACUGCACCUCUACAUAACACAGAGUAGUGGUAUAAGCUCCAGAGUCAAAACAUCCAGGCAGAAGCUCAGUUCUGCUAGUGAAUCAGCUCUGUGACCUGUGGGCAGAUUAUUUAACAUCUUUCAGCCUCAGUUAUUCUUCCCAUUAGUAAAAUGGUAAUAUUAGCUAAUCAGGACUUUUUUCUUUUAUAGACAUGCUGUAACUUAAAUAUUAACAUAGUAGGAAAACAUAUGUCACAGGCCCUAUAAUAAGAACAAGUACCCUCUAUUCUCCAUAAUUAAGGCACCACAUCAGACAGUCUGAAAGAUACACAGAAAUGAAGAAUGAACAAAGUGGAUGAUAAAAGAAAGUAGGGAAUAAGGGGUGAGGAGAUUAGUACCAGACCUCAAACCAAAGAGUACCAAGCAGGUGCUAGGAGCCAGCUGGUUUGGGAGCAGAGGAGGGUCUAGUUAAAGCUGGACACUGACCCAGACUGACCUUCCAAUUAGUCUGUUCCAUUGGACCAGGCCACCUAGGUAAUUCCUUGAAGCCCCUCUAAGAAUUACUAAUUUAUUGGGCAGUUUCUUCAUAAACAAUUUUAAGUAAACACUGGCAGUUACACUGCCCAUGCUGAAAAUCAGUGGAGAACAAAUUAGCAAAUUUUUACUCAACUUUAUUUUUACCAACUUGAGUAUCUCCCACACUUGCCAAAUUUAUUCACACACACCCCUGUGACCUGCUACGGAGCAUCUGAUUUGGGAGGAAGAAGGGAGCACACAGUUUAUAACCCAGGCACAGGCACAGCACUUAAGGGAAAUAUGUAACAUCCUAACAAAGUUUUUGACUUAUUGAACAUUUAAGAAAGACAAAAAACCCACUGAACAAUAUAAAAGAAUAUAAAACCAGGUUAAAUGUCAUUUAAAAGGCUGGGUUAAUUCAUUACAUUGGUUAUACUGACUGUCUACCAAGGAACAUGCAAUCAGGAAUAAGUGUAAGCAAGAGGAAGGAGGAAGAAAGGAAGGAAAGAAAGAAAUUCCUAAUGGACAUAGAAUGGGGUGCCAAGCUGCUGCCAGGAAUGGGACCUAACCAGCAGGUGAAUUCACAGUGCAGGAUCCCACUUGUGACACCCAUUCUGCUAAUUCAGUCAAACCAGAAAGUCCUCUGGCCCCUCCCCUACCAUCAGGUAGAGUCACCUUUAAAUUCUACCAUGCAAAUAACAGUCUUUCUUCUUGUGGACCCUCAAAAAAGUGCUUUCAUCUGCUCCCUUGGGAGACUGACCACCUCUAUUACUCACACUUGCCUUUCCCUUCCUUCAAUCCCUAUUCAAAGCUCACACCUCCAUCCUCUGCUUAAUUAUGCCUGAACUAAUUAAUUAUGACUUCCAAAUAACUGCAGGCAUCACCCAGAGGAUGAAAUGGAAAUUCCCCUGUGGGAAAUACCUGCUGUGCUGAGAUGCAUCCAAUGCCAAAAAACGAAGAGCUGGAAAUGCCCGAGGCAGAGAAUUAAAAUGAGGGGCCAAACUGGCAGAAAAUCGGCACCAAGGGGUAUAAAACAGGACUAGAGUGCAGUCACUACCGUUUGGGUUCAGAAAAUCCAUGAGGUCCUGUGGUAAAAGAAACAAUAGUUAAAGUCAGCAGUAAAUGUACAUGCACCUCUUUCUGGAAGGACUCCCAGGAAACACUGCUGCCUCUGGGGAUAGGUGCUCGGGGCAGGAGUAAGAGGGAGACUCUAGUAUAUCCCUUAAGAACCUUCUGGAUUUUGAACCAUAUGAAUCCAUGAAUCAGCAGAGAAGUACUGUCAAAUAGCAGAUCAUAAACUUUCCUCUAAGCUUUCUUAAUACUACAAUGGAGCAAUUUUACUAUUUUUCGUAAUUCAUCAAUUCAAAUACAAAGUACUCACAGGGUUCAGGCCAUAUCCUAACCUUUGAAAUGUGCAUCUCACACAAUCUAGGGCACUACUAAAGCACUGUGAUCCCAGGCCCGAACUCUCUCUUCAGCAGCUCCAAGUCUGUGCCAAACAGUUGGAUCAAUGUAUUUGGCCAAAAGUUCAAGGGUGCACUACUCCUGCCACCACCCUAACAGAUUGCUUAAAUGGUUACAUGACAGGUGGUGUGAUGCCAGAAACAGUCCUGCAAUACUGAGACACAGCAUUUACCGGGCACCGGGGGGAGAGCUGAGGCCAGCACUGAUCCCUGCAGUUGGCAGGGGCUACAUGCAUUCAACAUACCACAUGCACCCUCAUUGAAAAUAAGCAGUCACAGCUUUCAGAGCCGGGACUUCUACACAAGCAGCGGAAUUUGUCCUGCUGUCCGGCUUAAUCCUACAGAAACUGUUCAUCACUAUCCCAGAAUUCUCUUUGGAAGCACCAUUUAUCCAACUAGCUGAAAGGCAUGGCUGGGUUUGGGACAAUUGUCUGACUGUCACUCCACAGUGAACACUCUGAAGAAAAGAAACUUUUCAUCAAUACAACAUGCUUCCCAGGGGCACUGCUAGUCUAAACAAUGCUAAAUUACAACAUUAGUAAUUCAGAUUUUUUUAAGUUGCCUUGGUAAUAAAUACCUUAGUUGGAAGAAGAAAAA